rnacentral:rRNA from 1 species
UAGCUUGCUACAAUUGGUAUAAAUGAGUCGCGAACGGGUGAGUAACGCGUAGGUAACCUACCUUUAAGCGGGGGAUAACUAUUGGAAACGAUAGCUAAUACCGCAUAAAAGGAGCUAACCCAUGUUAGCUUUUUAAAAGGUGCAACAGCAUCACUUAAAGAUGGACCUGCGUUGUAUUAGCUAGUUGGUAAGGUAACGGCUUACCAAGGCUUCGAUACAUAGCCGACCUGAGAGGGUGAUCGGCCACACUGGGACUGAGACACGGCCCAGACUCCUACGGGAGGCAGCAGUAGGGAAUCUUCGGCAAUGGGGGGAACCCUGACCGAGCAACGCCGCGUGAGUGAAGAAGGUUUUCGGAUCGUAAAGCUCUGUUAUAAGCGAAGAAUAGGAGUAAGAGUGGAAAGUUUACUCUAUGACGGUAGCUUAUCAGAAAGGGACGGCUAACUACGUGCCAGCAGCCGCGGUAAUACGUAGGUCCCGAGCGUUGUCCGGAUUUAUUGGGCGUAAAGCGAGCGCAGGUGGUUUAAUAAGUCUGAAGUUAAAGGCAGUGGCUCAACCAUUGUACGCUUUGGAAACUGUUAAACUUGAGUGCAGAAGGGGAGAGUGGAAUUCCAUGUGUA